rnacentral:rRNA from 1 species
AUUGAACGCUGGCGGCAUGCCUUACACAUGCAAGUCGAACGGCAGCACGGGAGCAAUCCUGGUGGCGAGUGGCGAACGGGUGAGUAAAGUACCGGAACGUACCUUUCAGUGGGGGAUAACGUAGCGAAAGUUACGCUAAUACCGCAUAUUCUGUGAGCAGGAAAGCAGGGGAUCGCAAGACCUUGCGCUGAUUGAGCGGCCGAUAUCAGAUUAGCUAGUUGGUGAGGUAAAGGCUCACCAAGGCGACGAUCUGUAGCGGUUCUGAGAGGAUGAUCCGCCACACUGGAACUGAGACACGGUCCAGACUCCUACGGGAGGCAGCAGUGGGGAAUUUUGGACAAUGGGCGCAAGCCUGAUCCAGCCAUGCCGCGUGAGUGAAGAAGGCCUUCGGGUUGUAAAGCUCUUUCGGCCGGGAAGAAAUCGCAUGGGUUAAUACCCUGUGCGGAUGACGGUACCGGCAUAAGAAGCACCGGCUAACUACGUGCCAGCAGCCGCAGUAACAC